rnacentral:rRNA from 1 species
UACGAAGGGGGGCUAGCGUUGCUCGGAAUCACUGGGCGUAAAGCGCACGUAGGCGGAUCGUUAAGUCAGGGGUGAAAUCCUGGAGCUCAACUCCAGAACUGCCUUUGAUACUGGCGAUCUUGAGUUCGGGAGAGGUGAGUGGAACUGCGAGUGUAGAGGUGAAAUUCGUAGAUAUUCGCAAGAACACCAGUGGCGAAGGCGGCUCACUGGCCCGAUACUGACGCUGAGGUGCGAAAGCGUGGGGAGCAAACAGG